UACGGAGGGGGCUAGCGUUGUUCGGAAUUACUGGGCGUAAAGCGCACGUAGGCGGACCAGUUAGUUGGGGGUGAAAUCCCGGGGCUCAACCCCGGAACUGCCUCCAAAACUGCUGGUCUGGAGGUCGAGAGAGGUGAGUGGAAUUCCGAGUGUAGAGGUGAAAUUCGUAGAUAUUCGGAGGAACACCAGUGGCGAAGGCGGCUCACUGGCUCGAUACUGACGCUGAGGUGCGAAAGCUAGGGGAGCAAACGGG
rnacentral:rRNA from 1 species